rnacentral:rRNA from 1 species
AAGGUUCGAUUCUGGCUCAGGAUGAACGCUAGCUACAGGCUUAACACAUGCAAGUCGAGGGGCAGCAUUGGAGUAGCAAUACUCAGAUGGCGACCGGCGCACGGGUGAGUAACACGUAUCCAACCUGCCGCUUACUCGGGGAUAGCCUUUCGAAAGAAAGAUUAAUACCCGAUGGUAUAAAGAGUUCGCAUGUUCUCUUUAUUAAAGAAUUUCGGUAAGCGAUGGGGAUGCGUUCCAUUAGAUAGUUGGCGGGGUAACGGCCCACCAAGUCUACGAUGGAUAGGGGGUUCUGAGAGGAAGGUCCCCCACAUUGGAACUGAGACACGGUCCAAACUCCUACGGGAGGCAGCAGUGAGGAAUAUUGGUCAAUGGACGAGAGUCUGAACCAGCCAAAAGUAGCGUGAAGGAUGACUGCCCUAUGGGUUGUAAACUUCUUUUAUAAGGGAAUAAAGUGAGGGACGUGUCCCUUUUUGUAUGUACCUUAUGAAUAAGGAUCGGCUAACUCCGUGCCAGCCGCGGC